UACAGAGGUCUCAAGCGUUGUUCGGAUUCAUUGGGCGUAAAGGGUGCGUAGGCGGCGCGGUAAGUCGGGUGUGAAAUCCUGGAGCUUAACUCCGAAACUGCAUUCGAUACUGCCGUGCUUGAGGACUGGAGAGGAGACUGGAAUUUACGGUGUAGCGGUGAAAUGCGUAGAUAUCGUAAGGAAGACCAGUGGCGAAGGCGGGUCUCUGGACGGUAACUGACGCUGAGGCACGAAGGCCAGGGGAGCAAACGGG
rnacentral:rRNA from 1 species